rnacentral:lncRNA from 1 species
AGCACCAGUUUCUCAUCUCAAAGAUCUGGGGUAACUAAAGACCCCAGGGAGAAACGGUUUCAUCAUGUUGCCCUAGCUAAUCUUAAACUCCUGGGCUCACGCAAUCCUUCCUGCCUCUGCCUCUGAAAAUGCUAAGCAAAAAUUGGUAAAUUCUUUCAUCUGAAUUUUAUAUAAUAUAAAGUAGUAAGAACUGUAGAACCUCCAACACAUAAUGACUCCAUCCAAAUCUCUGCACUAGAGGCAACCAAACUCCAUCAGCAGAAUAGGAACCUCUGUUUCCAGCCUCUCUGAGUAAACAGAAUCUUAACUUCUUUGAUUACCAGCUAACAUACACAACCAGCCUAAACACAUUCACACUGACCAACCCUUUGUAAUUUUUUACUGGAGUGCUGCUCUCUCCCAGACUUCCAAUACAUUGAGAAGCACUGACCUGGACCCCUGACGGCUAGUU